CUUUGAAACAGGUGCUAAUACCGUAUAACAAUCGAAACCGCAUGGUUUUGAUUUGAAAGGCGCUUUCGGGUGUCGCUGAUGGAUGGACCCGCGGUGCAUUAGCUAGUUGGUGAGGUAACGGCUCACCAAGGCCACGAUGCAUAGCCGACCUGAGAGGGUGAUCGGCCACAUUGGGACUGAGACACGGCCCGAACUCCUACGGGAGGCAGCAGUAGGGAAUCUUCGGCGAUGGACGAAAGUCUGACCGAGCAACGCCGCGUGAGUGAAGAAGGUUUUCGGAUCGUAAAACUCUGUUGUUAGAGAAGAACAAGGAUGAGAGUAACUGUUCAUCCCUUGACGGUAUCUAACCAGAAAGCCACGGCUAACUACGUGCCAGCAGCCGCGGUAAUACGUAGGUGGCAAGCGUUGUCCGGAUUUAUUGGGCGUAAAGCGAGCGCAGGCGGUUUCUUAAGUCUGAUGUGAAAGCCCCCGGCUCAACCGGGGAGGGUCAUUGGAAACUGGGAGACUUGAGUGCAGAAGAGGAGAGUGGAAUUCCAUGUGUAGCGGUGAAAUGCGUAGAUAUAUGGAGGAACACCAGUGGCGAAGGCGGCUCUCUGGUCUGUAACUGACGCUGAGGCUCGAAAGCGUGGGGAGCAAACAGGAUUAGAUACCCUGGUAGUCCACGCCGUAAACGAUGAGUGCUAAGUGUUGGAGGGUUUCCGCCCUUCAGUGCUGCAGCUAACGCAUUAAGCACUCCGCCUGGGGAGUACGACCGCAAGGUUGAAACUCAAAGGAAUUGACGGGGGCCCGCACAAGCGGUGGAGCAUGUGGUUUAAUUCGAAGCAACGCGAAGAACCUUACCAGGUCUUGACAUCCUUUGACCACUCUAGAGAUAGAGCUUCCCCUUCGGGGGCAAAGUGACAGGUGGUGCAUGGUUGUCGUCAGCUCGUGUCGUGAGAUGUUGGGUUAAGUCCCGCAACGAGCGCAACCCUUAUUGUUAGUUGCCAUCAUUCAGUUGGGCACUCUAGCAAGACUGCCGGUGACAAACCGGAGGAAGGUGGGGAUGACGUCAAAUCAUCAUGCCCCUUAUGACCUGGGCUACACACGUGCUACAAUGGGAAGUACAACGAGUUGCGAAGUCGCGAGGC
rnacentral:rRNA from 1 species